rnacentral:rRNA from 1 species
CUAAAUACUACCCAGUGACCGAUAGCGUAUAGUACUGUGAAGGAAAGGUGAAAAGCACCCCGGGAGGGGAGUGAAAAAGAACCUGAAACCCUGUGCCUACAAGCACCUAGAGCACGUCAAUGUGUGAUAGGGUACUUUUUGUAGAACGGUCCGGCGAGCGAUUGUAUGCAGCAAGGUUAAGGACUUAAGGUCUGGAGCCGAAGCGAAAGCGAGUUUGAAAAGGGCGUUAAGUUGCAUAUAAUGGGCCCGAAACCGGGUGACCUACCCAUGGUCAGGUUGAAGUGGAAGUAAAAUUCCAUGGAGGACCGAACCGACCUCCGUUGAAAAGGCGGCGGAUGAACUGUGGGUAGCGGAGAAAUUCCAAUCGAACCCGGAGAUAGCUGGUUCUCCCCGAAAUAGUUUUAGGACUAGCCUCAAGUUAGAUACCUGGAGGUAAAGCACUGAAUAGCCUAGCGGCCGAGAGGUUAGCGAAGCUUAUCAAACUCAGAAUGCCAGAGUAUUGAUGCUUGGGAGUCAGACAGUGUCAGAUAAAUGUCAUUGUCAAAAGGGAAACAGCCCAGAUCUACAGCUAAGGUCCCAAAGUCAGGUUAAGUGGAAAACGAUGUGAAGAUACGCAGACAACCAGGAUGUUGGCUCAGAAGCAGCCACUCAUUCAAAGAGUGCGUAAUAGCUCACUGGUCGAGCGUCUUUGCGCGGAGAAUUUAACGGGGCUAAACCUGACACCGAAGCUUAGGCAAUCCAGUAAUGGAUUGGGUAGGGGAGCGUUGUAUACGCGGAGAAACAGUAGCGUGAGCGGCUGUGGAGUGUAUAGAAGUGAGAAUGCCGGAAUGAGUAGCGCGAAUGCAGUGAGAAUCUGCAUGGCCGAAAGCCUCAGGUUUUUGGAGGAAGGUUCGUCCGCUCCAAGUUAGUCGGGAGCUAAGGUGAGGCCGGAAGGCGUAGCCGAUGCACAGACGGUAGAGAUUCCGUCACCACCAAAAGAGUUAAGCACAGGGACACAUUUGAAGUCUCAGAGCCGGGUGUUGGUUCCGGUAGAGAUCGAGGGAAAUUAGUACCGAAGUCUGGGAUGGAAGAUGGCGAGAAAAGCUGUGUGUAUUUCUGAGGUGCCCGUACCGCAAACCGACACAGGUAGGUAGGAAGAAGAUUCUAAGGCCAACGGGAGAAGGGUUGUUAAGGAACUCGGCAAAUUGACCCCGUAACUUCGGGAGAAGGGGUGCUCCAGAGAUGGAGCCGCAGAGAAUCGGCCCAAGCAACUGUUUACCAAAAACACAGGUUUGUGCUAAAUCGAAAGAUGACGUAUACGAGCUGACGCCUGCCCGGUGCUGGAAGGUUAAGAGGAGAUGUGCAAGCAUUGAAUCGAAGCCCCAGUGAACGGCGGCCGUAACUAUAACGGUCCUAAGGUAGCGAAAUUCCUUGUCAGGUAAGUUCUGACCCGCAUGAAAGGCGUAAUGAUUUGGGCACUGUCUCAACAGCCCGCCCGGCGAAAUUGUAGUACCGGUGAAGAUGCCGGUUACCCGCGACAAGACGGAAAGACCCCAUGGAGCUUUACUGUAGCCUAAUAUUGGGUUUCGAUGUUGCAUGCACAGGAUAGAUGGGACACUGGGAAACAAUCGCUUUGGCGGUUGCGGAGUGGCCGUUGGGAUACCAUCCUUGCGAUAUUGGAAUUCUAACCUGCGGCUCUGAAUCGAGUCGGGGGACAUUGUUAGGUGGGCAGUUUGACUGGGGCGGUCGCCUCCUAAAAAGUAACGGAGGCGUUCAAAGGUUCGCUCAGCUUGAACGGAAAUCAAGCAAAAGAG